AGGAUGAACGCUGGCGGCGUGCUUAACACAUGCAAGUCGAACGAUGAACCCCGCUUGCGGGGGGAUUAGUGGCGAACGGGUGAGUAACACGUGAGUAACCUGCCCUUAACUCUGGGAUAAGCCUUGGAAACGAGGUCUAAUACUGGAUAUUGACUUUACCUCGCAGUGGGGUUUUGUUGAAAGUAUUUAUUGGUUUUGGAUGGACUCGCGGCCUAUCAGCUUGUUGGUGAGGUAAUGGCUCACCAAGGCGACGACGGGUAGCCGGCCUGAGAGGGUGACCGGCCACACUGGGACUGAGACACGGCCCAGACCUCCGUACGGGAGGCAGCGAGGUAGGGAAUAUUGACUACAAGUGGGACGAAAGCCUGAUGCAGCGACGCCG
rnacentral:rRNA from 1 species